rnacentral:tRNA from 1 species
GGAGAGUUGUCCGAGUGGUUGAAGGAGCGCGCUUGGAAAGCGCGUAAAGCUCUAAAGGCUUUCGCGGGUUCGAAUCCCCCACUCUCCG